rnacentral:rRNA from 1 species
GACGUAGGAGGCGAGCGUUGUCCGGAUUCAUUGGGCGUAAAGAGCACGCAGGCGGUUUGGUAAGUCGGAUGUGAAAACCCGAAGCUCAACUUCGGGCCUGCAUCCGAAACUGCCCGACUAGAGGUAGGUAGGGGAGAUCGGAAUUCCUGGUGUAGCGGUGAAAUGCGCAGAUAUCAGGAGGAACACCGGUGGCGAAGGCGGAUCUCUGGGCCUUACCUGACGCUGAGGCGCGAAAGCUAGGGGAGCGAACAGG